UCGCGUGUGGCCCCCGCUAUACAUGCAGUCGAACGAUGAACCACUUCGGUGGGGAUUAGUGGCGAACGGGUGAGUAACACGUGGGCAAUCUGCCCUGCACUCUGGGACAAGCCCUGGAAACGGGGUCUAAUACCGGAUACUGACCACUGGGGGCAUCCUCAGUGGUCGAAAGCUCCGGCGGUGCAGGAUGAGCCCGCGGCCUAUCAGCUUGUUGGUGAGGUAGUGGCUCACCAAGGCGACGACGGGUAGCCGGCCUGAGAGGGCGACCGGCCACACUGGGACUGAGACACGGCCCAGACUCCUACGGGAGGCAGCAGUGGGGAAUAUUGCACAAUGGGCGAAAGCCUGAUGCAGCGACGCCGCGUGAGGGAUGACGGCCUUCGGGUUGUAAACCUCUUUCAGCAGGGAAGAAGCGAAAGUGACGGUACCUGCAGAAGAAGCGCCGGCUAACUACGUGCCAGCAGCCGCGGUAAUACGUAGGGCGCGAGCGUUGUCCGGAAUUAUUGGGCGUAAAGAGCUCGUAGGCGGCUUGUCACGUCGGUUGUGAAAGCCCGGGGCUUAACCCCGGGUCUGCAGUCGAUACGGGCAGGCUAGAGUUCGGUAGGGGAGAUCGGAAUUCCUGGUGUAGCGGUGAAAUGCGCAGAUAUCAGGAGGAACACCGGUGGCGAAGGCGGAUCUCUGGGCCGAUACUGACGCUGAGGAGCGAAAGCGUGGGGAGCGAACAGGAUUAGAUACCCUGGUAGUCCACGCCGUAAACGGUGGGCACUAGGUGUGGGCAACAUUCCACGUUGUCCGUGCCG
rnacentral:rRNA from 1 species